rnacentral:tRNA from 97 species
GCCCUUUAUCGGAUUUGAACCGAUGACUUAUGC